ensembl:lncRNA LINC01753 long intergenic non-protein coding RNA 1753
AGCUCCAAUGUGAUCUGGGUUCUGAUAUUAUCUCUGCGCUCUGCAGUGUGCCAUGGGCACAUGAGGCUGACUGCAUAGAUAAAAGAACAAGAGGGUCAAAUCCAUUAACUGGGUAAUUCAACUUUAGUCAGUACAUUUUACGCAAGAUUACAAGAUGAGACAAAAGAAUGUCAGAAGUCAUAACCAUGCCUGAUGACAACAGUUUCCUUUGGCCUGGUGUGGUAUUGUAAAUUGUCGCUUUUAGACCAACUUUUUAGUGAUAGACCCUCUCUAUGCUUUUUGUUGUAAGCUACUGCAGAUUCUUGCCACAGGUAUGAAGUAAAUUCUGUUAAUAGCCUUGAUUUUUCACCUGUGCCACCAUAUAUAUCUUUGCCAUGGCCUCAUGAUGGAUGGAAUAUACUUCCCUGCCCCUUGACUUGAUACUUGACCAUGUAACUUUUUUGGAACAAUGAAAGAUGAUGGAAAUGUCAGUAUACCUGUGCUCAGGUAUACUGUGCUAGGUCUUAAGAAGCCUCCAGUGUUUCCAGCUAUACAUCUGCAAUCACCAUGAGAAGGACCUGCUCAAGCAAACCACUAGUCACAGGAGGAGAAUGAGAGACACAUGGAGCAGAGCUGCCCUCAGAGUCCACCUAGAUUAGUUGUCAGCAGACCUCCAGUGGACUUGUAGAAACACAAGCAAUAAUAAAAGGCUGUUGUUUUAAG